rnacentral:rRNA from 1 species
AGAGCGAACGCUGGCGGCAGGCCUAACACAUGCAAGUCGAGCGCCCGUAGCAAUACGGGAGCGGCAGACGGGAUAGUAACACGUGGGAACGCGCCCUUCGGUUCGGAAUAACUCAGGGAAACUUGAGCUAAUACCGAAUACGCCCUUACGGGGAAAGAUUUAUUGCCGAAGGAACGGCCCGCGUCCGAUUAGCUAGUUGGUGAGGUAAUGGCUCACCAAGGCUACGAUCGGUAGCUGGUCUGAGAGGAUGACCAGCAUCACUGGGACUGAGACACGGCCCAGAUUCCUACGGGAGGCAGCAGUGGGGAAUAUGGACAAUGGGCGCAAGCCUGAUCCAGCCAUGCCGCGUGGAUGAUGAAGGCCUUAGGGUUGUAAAGUCCUUUUAACGGGGAAGAUAAUGACGGUACCCGUAGAAUAAGCCCCGGCUAACUUCGUGCCAGCAGCCGC